rnacentral:rRNA from 3 species
UACGUAGGGAGCGAGCGUUGUCCGGAUUUACUGGGUGUAAAGGGUGCGUAGGCGGCGAGGCAAGUCAGGCGUGAAAUCUAUGGGCUUAACCCAUAAACUGCGCUUGAAACUGUCUUGCUUGAGUGAAGUAGAGGUAGGCGGAAUUCCCGGUGUAGCGGUGAAAUGCGUAGAGAUCGGGAGGAACACCAGUGGCGAAGGCGGCCUACUGGGCUUUAACUGACGCUGAAGCACGAAAGCAUGGGUAGCAAACAGG